UACGUAGGGUGCGAGCGUUAAUCGGAAUUACUGGGCGUAAAGCGCACGUAGGCGGCUUUGUAAGUUAGAGGUGAAAGCCUGGAGCUCAACUCCAGAAUUGCCUUUAAGACUGCAUCGCUUGAAUCCAGGAGAGGUGAGUGGAAUUCCGAGUGUAGAGGUGAAAUUCGUAGAUAUUCGGAAGAACACCAGUGGCGAAGGCGGCUCACUGGACUGGUAUUGACGCUGAGGUGCGAAAGCGUGGGGGAGCAAACAGG
rnacentral:rRNA from 1 species